CCUACGGGAGGCAGCAGUGAGGAAUAUUGGUCAAUGGGCGCGAGCCUGAACCAGCCAAGUAGCGUGAAGGAUGACUGCCCUACGGGUUGUAAACUUCUUUUAUAAAGGAAUAAAGUGCGGCACGUGUGCCUUUUUGUAUGUACUUUAUGAAUAAGGAUAGGCUAACUCCGUGCCAGCAGCCGCGGUAAUACGGAGGAUCCGAGCGUUAUCCGGAUUUAUUGGGUUUAAAGGGAGCGUAGAUGGGUUGUUAAGUCAGUUGUGAAGUGUUGCGGCUCAACCGUAAAAUUGCAGUUGAUACUGGCAGCCGUGAGUACAGUUGAGGUAGGCGGAAUGCGUGGUGUAGCGGUGAAAUGCUUAGAUAUCACGAAGAACUCCGAUUGCGAAGGCAGCUUACUAAGCUGCCACUGACAUUGAUGCUCGAAAGUGUGGGUAUCAAACAGGAUUAGAUACCCCAGUAGUC
rnacentral:rRNA from 1 species